GCUUGUGUGGUGUAAUGGUUUGGCCAUUGGACUGUUACUCUGGAGAUCAGGGUUCAGUUCCCACUUGAGCA